GAUGAACGCUGGCGGCGUGCCUAAUACAUGCAAGUCGAGCGAACAGACGAGGAGCUUGCUCCUCUGACGUUAGCGGCGGACGGGUGAGUAACACGUGGAUAACCCACCUAUAAGACUGGGAAAACUUCGGGAAACCGGAGCUAAUACCGGAUAAUAUAUUGAACCGCAUGGUUCAAUAGUGAAAGACGGUUUUGCUGUCACUUAUAGAUGGAUCCGCGCCGCAUUAGCUAGUUGGUAAGGUAACGGCUUACCAAGGCAACGAUGCGUAGCCGACCGGAGAGGGUGGUCGGCCACACUGGAACUUGGACACGGUCCAGACUCCUACGGGAGGCAGCAGUAGGGAAUCUUCCGCAAUGGGCGAAAGCCUGACGGAGCAACGCCGCGUGUGUGAUGAAGGUCUUCGGUUCGUAAAACUCUGUUAUUAGGGAAGAACAAAUGUGUAAGUAACUAUGCACGUCUUGACGGUACCUAAUCAGAAAGCCACGGCUAACUACGUG
rnacentral:rRNA from 1 species